AGAGGGUGCAAGCGUUAAUCGGAAUUAUUGGGCGUAAAGCGCGCGCAGGCGGUCCUUUAAGUCUGAUGUGAAAGCCCACGGCUCAACCGUGGAGGGUCAUUGGAAACUGGGGGACUUGAGUACAGAAGAGGAAAGCGGAAUUCCAAGUGUAGCGGUGAAAUGCGUAGAGAUUUGGAGGAACACCAGUGGCGAAGGCGGCUUUCUGGUCUGUAACUGACGCUGAGGCGCGAAAGCGUGGGGAGCAAACAGGGAUUAGAUACCCUGGUAGUCCACGCCGUAAACGAUGAGUGCUAAGUGUUAGGGGGUUUCCGCCCCCUUAGUGCUGCAGCUAACGCAUUAAGCACUCCGCCUGGGGAGUACGGCCGCAAGGCUG
rnacentral:rRNA from 1 species